rnacentral:rRNA from 1 species
GACGAACGCUGGCGGCGUGCUUAACACAUGCAAGUCGAACGGACAGGCCCUGCUUUUGUGGGGUGCUCGAGUGGCGAACGGGUGAGUAACACGUGAGUAACCUGCCCUUGACUUUGGGAUAACUUCAGGAAACUGGGGCUCAUACCGGAUAGGAGCUCCUGCUGCAUGGUGGGGGUUGGAAAGUUUCGGCGGUUGGGGAUGGACUCGCGGCUUAUCCGCUUGUUGGUGGGGUAGUGGCUUACCAAGGCUUUGACGGGUAGCCGGCCUGAGAGGGUGACCGGGCACCAUGGGACUAGGGGACGGACCAGAAGGCUACGGGAAGCAACAGGGGGGAAAUUGGCGGAAAGGGGCGGAGGCAGAGGCAGCAACGGCGGGGGCGGGAAGACCGGCUUCGGGGUGGAAACCAAUUUGGCCGUGGACGAAGCGGGAGUGACGGUAACGGGUAAAGAAGCACCGGCUAACUACGUG